rnacentral:lncRNA from 1 species
AAACGUUUAUAAUCCUAUUCAACAUGUUGGAUAAAAUAAUUAAAUAUCCAAAUAAAUAGUUCGCAAAAAUCAAAUAGAUUUUUACAUACCUCUUUUGUUGCGGAAUGUAUUACGAUUACCAGGAUCGAAUUUCGUCUUGUUUUACAAACUCGUUGAUCCGCCAACGUCCUGUCUCAAUUUGUUGCACGUUAUUCUUACUCGUUACAAUCCGGCUACUAGAGUCAAUUGCCGCACACCGCCCAAAUCCCUAGGGUUUAUGAUAGUGCCCUAGAGUGAAUCCAAGAGAGAGAAAAUUUUUGUGGUGAGAUGAUUCUAUUUUAUUUUAUUUUUUUCGUUUUAUUUGUAUGUGGUCAAUACCUCAUGUAUUUAUAGGCCAUAAGGGAGACAUUAAUUUUAAUAUGUGGUCAAUACCUCAUGUAUUUAUAGGCCAUAAGGGAGACAUUAAUUUUAAUCAUAUUCUAACUAAAUCUCACAUAGAUAGAGAUUUAAAUAGAUUAGGAUUUAUCUGUUAGAUUUAUUCCUUAUCCCAUGUGGAUUAGGAAUAUAACAGAUAAUUACAAAUAUUUUUUCUUAUCCCAUAUAGAUUAGAAAUAUUUUAGAUAAAUUUCAAUGUGGACGAAUCCUAACACAACACCAGCUGACAAAUUCGUAA